CCGAGCGAGGGCCUCCGGCCCGACCUCCAACCCUUUGUGGACCAACACCCGUUGCCUCGGGGGUGACCCGGCCUCCGCGUCGGGGCCCCCGACGGACCAAAUCAACUCUGUGUCUGUACGUCGGAGUGAUGAGCGAAUCAAUCA
rnacentral:misc_RNA from 1 species